CAGCCGCCGCGGUAAUACGGAGGGUGCAAGCGUUAAUCGGAAUUACUGGGCGUAAAGCGUGCGUAGGCGGUGAGUUAAGUCUGCUGUGAAAUCCCCGGGCUCAACCUGGGAAUGGCAGUGGAUACUGGCUCGCUAGAGUGUGUCAGAGGAUGGUGGAAUUCCCGGUGUAGCGGUGAAAUGCGUAGAGAUCGGGAGGAACAUCAGUGGCGAAGGCGGCCAUCUGGGACAACACUGACGCUGAGGCACGAAAGCGUGGGGAGCAAACAGGAUUAGAUACCCCCGUAGUCCCUGUCUCUUAUAC
rnacentral:rRNA from 1 species